AAAAGAAACCAACAGGGAUUGCCCUAGUAACGGCGAGUGAAGCGGCAACAGCUCAAAUUUGAAAUCUGGCGCAAGCCCGAGUUGUAAUUUGUAGAGGAUGCUUCUGGGUAGCGACCGAUCUAAGUUCCUUGGAACAGGACGUCAUAGAGGGUGAGAAUCCCGUAUGUGACCGGCCCGCACCCUUUACGUAGCUCCUUCGACGAGUCGAGUUGUUUGGGAAUGCAGCUCUAAAUGGGAGGUAAAUUUCUUCUAAAGCUAAAUACCGGCCAGAGACCGAUAGCGCACAAGUAGAGUGAUCGAAAGAUGAAAAGUACUUUGGAAAGAGAGUUAAAAAGCACGUGAAAUUGUUGAAAGGGAAGCGCCUGCAACCAGACUUCGCGGCAGUGUUCCGCCGGUCUUCUGACCGGUUCAUUCUCUGUCGCGAGGCCAUCAUCGUCUGGGCCCGCCGGAUAAGACCUGAGGAAUGUGGCUCCCCCUCGGGGGAGUGUUAUAGCCUCUGGUGAUGCGGCGUGGCUCGGGCGAGGUCCGCGCUUCGGCAAGGAUGAUGGCGUAAUGGUUGUCGGCGGCCCGUCUUGAAACACGGACCAAGGAGUCUAACAUCUAUGCGAGUGUUCGGGUGUCAAACCCCUACGCGUAAUGAAAGUGAACGGAGGUGGGAACCGCAAGGUGCACCAUCGACCGAUCCUGAUGUCCUCGGAUGGAUUUGAGUAAGAGCAUAGCUGUUGGGACCCGAAAGAUGGUGAACUAUGCCUGAAUAGGGUGAAGCCAGAGGAAACUCUGGUGGAGGCUCGCAGCGGUUCUGACGUGCAAAUCGAUCGUCAAAUUUGGGUAUAGGGGCGAAA
rnacentral:rRNA from 1 species